rnacentral:miRNA from 1 species
GACGACGAUAUUCGACGUCAUAAACACGAGCAAGUUUGGUGUUUAUGACGUCGAUAUUCGACGUCAUAACCAAACUUUAUGGUGUUUAUGACGUCGAUAUUCGACGUCAUAAACACGAGCAAGUUUGGUGUUUAUGACGUCGAUAUUCGACGUCAUAAACACGAUCACGUUUGGUGUUUAUGACGUCGACAUUCGACGUCAUGAACACGAUCAAGUUUGGUGUUUAUGACGUCGAUAUUUGACGUCAUAAACACCAUCAAGUUUGGUGUUUAUGACGUCGAUAUUCGACGUCAUAAACACCAUCAAGUUUGGUGUUUAUGACGUCGAUAUUCGACGUC